UUCAGGGCUGUCAGACUCCACUGAAAAGCAUCCAGACCUUCAUCCACAGGAAGGUCGGUGGGACCAACUCUCUAUCACUCUGCACCUUGCCUAGGACUCCAUUCUGAUGCCAGGUGACCUUGUGUGUUAUCCAACAACUCUUCUACUGGCUCAAGGAUGUGCUCCAGAGAUUGGCCCAGAAGAAGAAGAAUGCUUGCUGGACCGAAUAUGUCCCUCUUUCUCUCAAAACAUGAGCAUCAGACCAUUUAUUGUAGGACAGAGAGCUCCUUGCAGCAGAACGAGAGGAUAA
rnacentral:lncRNA from 1 species